CGGCGCUUUGUUUCGUUAAGAAUGCGAGUCGAGAGCGUAAGGUCUCGGCGGCCGCUGAGUAACACGCGGAUAACAUGCCCUGGGGUGGGGGAUAACCUCGGGAAACUGAGAAUAACACUCCAUAAGUCUAGGAUGCUGGAAUGCACUUAGGCUAAAAACUUCGGUGCCUAAGGAUGAGUCUGUGGACUAUCAGGUUGUAGUCAGGGUAAUGACCUGACUAGCCUAUGACGGAUACGGGUUGUGAGAGCAAUAACCCGGAGAUGAUAUCUGAGACACGAUAUCAGGCCCUACGGGGCGCAGCAGGCGCGAAAACUUCGCAAUGUGCGAAAGCACGACGAGGGAAUCCCAAGUGCUGGCUCGUUAGAGUCAGCUGUUUUUAUGUCUAAAAAGCACAGAGAGUAAGUGCUGGGUAAGACGGGUGCCAGCCGCCGCGGUAAUACCUGCAGCACGAGUGGUGGCCACUAUUAUUGGGCCUAAAACGUCCGUAGCCUGUUUAUUAAAUGCCUAGGUAAAUUGUGUGGCUUAACCAUACGAAUUCUGGGUAGACUGAUAAACUUGAGACCGGGAGAAGCUAGAGGUACUCCUGGGGUAGAGGUGAAAUUCUGUAAUCCUAGGGGGACCACCAGUGGCGAAGGCGUCUAGCUAGAACGGGUUUGACGGUGAGGGACGAAGCCCCUGGGGCGCAAACGGGAUUAGAUACCCCGGUAGUCCAGGGUGUAAACGCUGCUUGCUUGAUGUUGGUUGGGCUCCGAGCCCAAUCAGUGUCGGAGAGAAGUUGUUAAGCAAGCUGCCUGGGAAGUACGAUCGCAAGACUGAAACUUAAAG
rnacentral:rRNA from 1 species